CACACACUGAUUUAAAAGCCUUUAUGUAGUUUCCGUGACUUGGUACAUUCCACUCCCCCCCUCUGUGUCGAUCUAUUUGGAAUGUUCCACUUCCUUUGUCGGAGGCGGAGCUUCUUCUGCGCAGAGACAGAAACGAGAAGCAGCGGGAACUAACAUGUGGACAAUCAUGUGAACAAACGUGGACCAGGACCAGGAGCCGGAGCCAGGAUCAGGACCAGGACCAGGAGGAGGACGAGGAGCAGCGGGGACAGCUUUUCUCCGGGUUCUCUGGCCUCCUCCCACAGUCCAUCAAUCAUCUACCACUUUGUCCUCCACUGGAGGGUCGUGGGGGCUGCUGUGCCAAGCUCAGCUGUCAUAGGGUCAUAGGCGGGGUUCACCCUGGACUGUUCGCCAGUCCAUUCAAAACACGCAGUACAGUGAUGAGGUAAAUUUCCGCUUAAACAAUGACUUCAUGUAAGAUUCGAACCCCUGACCACAGGAACGCCAGCCCAAGUCUGAAACGUGUGAGCUAUUGGUCUUUGCAAGCAUUCCGCACAAUUUGGAAGUCUUUCAAUAAUAAAGUCCAUGACUUCAAAAAAAUGUCAGACUGAUGAAAUAUUUCAGAACGUUUGUCAACUUUAUUGUCAUUGCAAUGCAAUUCAGUCUAACCAGAGUGCAAAAACCAGUAAAGUGCAGUGAAAUGAAUAUAUAUGUAUAUAUAGCCUAUGAAUGAUAUGGGAAAGCUAAGGUAUGAAAUAUUAACAGUAAUACACUUUAACUGCACUUUAACACUGAUGUCAACUUUAACAAACAUAAACUGUGACACAUAAAACCAAAGGCUUACAACCACCCUAUUACAAAGGGGAUGGACAACUUAAAGCAUUUUAACUGACAUACAAGCAGGAAAGACACCUGUAAAAUAACACCUGAACAGGCCUAAUGUUAAGUUUCCAAACGUCCCUGAUGAAUUUAAGGUGGAGUAACAUUAACACACGUCGACUCAGCUAUUUAUUGAUUAUUAAACAAUGUUGCUAU